CCAGCUCGGCGCGCCACGGGGGCGUGACGUCACGCGCCACGUGACCCGCCCCCAUUCAUUUCCCCUCUCCCCCCCGCCGCGUUGUGAAUGGAGCUCCGAACGCGCAGACAUCACCCGCGGGCGCUGAUUGGCUGCUCCGCGCCCACGCCCCCCGCCACGUGGGGGCGCUACGCGCCAGGACGCGCGCCCGGAGCGGCGGCGCGGCCGUGGCGCGCUUCGUGGGCGGCCCCGCGUGGGCCGCGGUCCCUCCCGGCCGUUUGCAGCGAAACGGGGAGUUUGGCUCGGGUUUCGGCUCCCAGAGGGCACCUGAACCCUCCCCAGACACCGGCUGCUCUGCAUUUAAUGCCAACCCCCAUAAGGAUUUCCUCGAGGUGAUCUCCGCACCUCUAAAAAGCCUCGCGGGCUGCAAAUGUGCUGCAUUUGCCAACUUUCCCCUCGGCUGCAUCAUAACGAAGCCUUUGCACACCUUUUUCCUCCUAAGUCACUAUUUUUCUCGUGGUGCGGGAACGCUGAGACCAGUUGUUUGUAGGCAGCAAAACUGCUGGCUGAGCCCAGAGCUCUUUCUUGACUGUUUUGGUGCUCGAAGACGCAACCAGCUUCCGAGGGGAUUUUUUUAAAGUAGUACCUAGUUCGCAUCAAAAUAGCUAGCAGUUGGAUUUGUUUUCACAGCUGUUAAAUCCUGAGGACAGAUGGCCUCAGUGGUGCAUAAGCAGCGGAUCGUUUUGCAGAUCUGAGGUGUCCUGAGGCUGCGCCAAUGCACAAGGAGGGGUAGCAGCGGGAGCGAGGGUCUGGGGGAGCAGCUACUUCGACUGACAGAAGGAAGAGUGUUGGAUGGUUGUGUGUGCUAAUACGCACUAAAAGUUAAAAAAGAGAAGGCAGGGAGGAAACUGGUGGUGAAAGCAGCCCAGAGCUGGAACUGGGCUACAGGGCGGCUGGGAAAUGAUAAAUCCGUAAGGCGCCUCCUGAUUGCUGCUCUCCUGGUGCAGGGCAACAGGACUUUGUGCUCCUUGGCAAAUAAAAAGGCCUGUGCCAAGGAAGUACCUUGCUCCAGGUAAGUUUAGCCGUUAGCAAAAAGAUGACGUGAUUUCUUCCUGGCCUUUUCUCCUUGCGGUCUAAAGCCAAAUCCUUCCCCGUGCUCUGGGUGCACACGCAGGGUGCUGCCCGUCCAACCGCGUAACCUCCUGACGCGUCUGCGCCCAUGCAGCGAUAGCUGCCUGCGGAAAAAGAACAAAACCCUUCACUUUUUCUCCCACAUCCAGCGCCUCGGGCAAGUCUCGCUGCUGUGUGUUUGCUUUUCUGACUCAGACAAAUCAUUCACCAGGGCCAGACGCUGCGUUUCGCUGAAGCGGGCGUCUCUUGACCUCGUGUGGGUGGACUUGUUAUCUCCGACUUCUUCCUGUGCUUCAUCAGUGCCAAGAAUAUCACUCUUUAGCUGCUGCACGUACAUAUUUUCCUUGCUUGUUUUGUGGCAAAAACCCAUCUCUAUCACUGACGGGCCACUUGCGUUUUGGUAUAAAUCUAGUCAUUUCACAGGGCCGGGUUCAACCACUGCAUGGAGAGAUCUAUGGGGAGCAAAAGGUUUGCGUUCCCCGUGCCGGGAAAGCAAACCACCCCAAAGCGAAGCCAUGGAUGGGAAGCUGUGCCCUUUAGUCCUGGAAAUCCACCUCGCAUCAGUACCCUUUUCAUUCCCUAACAUGCUUUUUAAUUUGGUCAUCUGAGUAGGUGACCUGGUCACCUCUGAGUAGGUGGCCUGGUGAGGCCGAUGACGCUUGCAGCACUGGCUGUGUAAUUGUAGAGAUUUUAAACUUCACCAUCUGAUCUUCCUGCAAAUUUAGAUGAGAUGCUCUCGGGCUCCCGUGACAGCAGCUUCCUUUUUCUAGUGGAUUUUAGCUUGGCACAAACGUGCUGGUUGCGACUAUUCCACAUUUCUUGGAGGACGCUUGCUUAUUCAAUCAGUGCCAUUCAGCAAUUUCAGAGCCUGCUGCAAUCUCACCUUUUAUGUGACCAGAAACGAGAAGAUACCAGUGCUCUUUCCUCAUCCCUCCUCCAGGCUCAAUCAUACCGUGUCAGUGCUGCUGGGAGAGCCCCUCGGGGAGAGAGGGAGAUGCCUGCGGUUAGCGUAGGGAGCUUAGGAUCAGACCUGGACUAAGGGCCAAAUCCAGUAAAGGACAUAGCUAUUGCCCUGGCAUUUUCCGAUUUUUUUUUCUAUUUCUGCUUUUUUUCUGGCUCCCUUUUUACUUUUGUGGUCUUUUGCAACUUGGAUUUUCCUCUCCUCAUCCACGGUUCAAAGCCAGCCUUAAGAGUGCAGGGAUGGUUUGUGAGCAGUUUCUCCACGGAAGAAGGGCUCCAGAAAUGGCAGCUGCUAUCCGAGCAAAGGAGCACUGCAAAAAUUAAAUAAAUGUAGAGAAAGGGCACGGAGAAGGAUAAAACGUUAGUGCAGUCACAAGGAAGCAGAGCAUUUUGGUUGGGAUUGCUGUGAAGAUUUGGCUCCAUGCAGGAGUGGAGAGCAGCGCCAGAGAAUAUGUUUUAAAGGGUAAAUGUUUGCUGUUGGCUAGGGAUUUGAAUGAUACAUCAAGAAAUACGAUAUAAAAACAUCUAAUGCAUGAAAUAAGGAAGACUGGGGAGGGCUGUACAUUGUAGAAGGUUCACCACUAGGGACUGGACCUUCUCACACGAGGGAGGGAGUGAAGCAGGGUCCCCCAUUGCCUGAGCACGUGCUCUCACCGCUGCUCCUCUUGCAGAGCUCACCAGCCCUGCAGCGUUGCCAAAGGGCAAUGUUGACCUCUUGCAUUGCCCCCGCAACUCCAGAGAGCUCCGGGGAGGCUCCUGAAGCUCGAAGCCCAAGCUGGCUGCACGUGAAUAAAUAUUGUGAUCAGUGAAAGGCUUUACCUGAGCAGCGACGGGAGAAGAGCAUCCCAGGGAAGCCCCGUGCGUGGUCCAGCAGCUCCAGGGAGGACUUCUCCUCCUGAGCAGUAUCAGGCUAAUCUCAUCCCAGAAUAAUGUUCAAGGACUCAAGAUUCAACUCAACGUUCAAGAUGGCUCACACUGUGCCUGCUUAAAACUCCGGAGCAGGGCGGACCCUAAAAAAAAGAUAAGAUAAUAAAAAAGAUAGACCCUAAAAGCAGAGAGUGGAGCAAGGCGAUGGGGUAGAGACUCCCCAUGAAGCUCUCGGACUAUGAAAAUUAGAGGUGUGAGUCAUGGCUGUGGGAAGAAGUCAAUAAAAGGGGACCCUGCCAGGAAAGCAGGAAGGAUCAGAGCUGAAGGAGGUGAGAAGAAGGUCAGAGCCCUCUUUUUCCUUUUUUGCUGUAGAGAGGAUGCUUCUUUCCAGACUGAUCACAGACACAAGUAGAGAAUUUACUGUGGGAAAUGACCCAUUACAGUAAACCAGAGCCAUAAAAUGCUCUGCCUCCUUCUCUAUUGCAAGGUUAAGUGCAAAAGAUUAAUUUAAAGGACAGGAUUUAAGUAUCAAAUGUCAGGUUUUGGUGAGAAUAUCGUUCAUGGAGCUUAAUGGGGAUAUAUAUGUUUUCCAACACAUUGCACUACAGGAUAGUGUGUAUCUGGAGAAAGAGUGAGAGGUUCCUGGGCAUGCAAGAAGAGAACAAAACCUGGAACUGAUCAGAAAAAGAAGAGAAAGCUGAUUGCUAUUCUUUAAUUUUUCCAAGCAGAAUAAAAUAUCAUAUCUAAGCACACCGUGUGCAUGUGCAGAAGGGAUUUAACAGAUCAGAUCACGCCUUUCUGCAGGCAGUGCUGCCACUGGCUGAGGAAAACUCAGGUUACGCAGCCGGGUGAACGCCCGAUGGUGCAGGACCAUGGUCCACGGGAUUCCCCGGCAGAUCGCCAGCCUCGGCCUUGCCCCGCAGACCACGUCGCGUCCCGGGGGCUCCCCGGGCUCCGGGCUGAUGCAGAGCAUGAAGUCCUUCCCGCUGGGCCUGCGUUUGCAGCUGGGGAUGCAGUUGGGAGAAGCAACGCUAGGUGUCAGCGACAUGUAAAAUCUGCGAGCUGCAGCAGGCAGCUCCCGAGCCAGGGCCCGGCCGCAGGUGCGAGGGCAGGGAAGAGGCUCUGGGGUUGCUCCCUGCGCGGCUCGAAGGAGGGGACGGUCAUGGGUGCAGGCCAGUAGAGGAGUGCUGGGGGGGGGGACACUUCUCUUGGCAGCCCUGGGUAUUUCUGCCCGUCGUUACCACCCAAGAAAGGCAGAGCUCAACGGCACACGAGGUGGCCCUGGCUGUAGCCGUCAUCUCUGUGACUACCCGAAGUCUGCAUGGCCAGGGCUGCUGGCGAGGAAGACUGUGGUUUCACUCCUGAGCUCAGCUUGUUGUUUCCGUAGCCCAAAGGCCAACCCAACUGUGGGACCUCAUCAUGUUCGCACAGGCCCCACUCAGCAGCUAAUUAUGGGAGCUCCGAAGGACAAGAUGCCUCGGAUGCCAGCGCAUCACUCGCCCAGGGCGGCUGGGAUGCUCUCCGCCUGCGUAACUACCGAUGCCUGGAUUUCACACCAGCGAUGGUGAGGACGAUGGGCUGAGCGGCGCGGCAGGAGCCCCCCUGCCUGCUGCGCCCCGGUGGGAAGGGGAGCGUGCGGAGAGGAGGUCUCCCCCCCGUACUGAGGGGUACUUAGGCUCGCACUGGUGCUAACCGCUCCUGACAUGUGUGGUGAACUGCUUGAGUGUAGGGAUGGAUGCGUUUGUCCUUCUGUUUCUGAACAAGACAUGGAAACCAGCCCUUUGCUGUGCUGUUCCCGACGAGCAAGGACUUCCCAGGUUCAGCAAAGCCGCCCAGAGCAAAGUAGCAGCUCUGAGCCCUAGACGGGGAUUUACCUCCUAGAUCUUUGAAUCCUGGCUAGAUGAAGCCAUAUCACAGAGAUGUGUGCAGGCGGACAUUGGCAGAGUGUGAGAAGUCCCACUGCGGCUUGCCAGAAGAUCUUCGUCCCACCAUGGCCACCAGAGAUCCUGUCCCUGUCACUAACUGGAAACCCAGAAUUGAAAAAUCCUCUGGAAAUUUUGAAAGCCAGAGCUCAAUUCAGACUGAAGUCCAUUCCAUCUUGCCAAUAUUUCAGUGUGUCCUUGCUAAUUUUCUGCAUUCAAGCUGUACAGAAGGAAAGGUAUAACAAAAUGUAUGAGAAAGCAAGAGUCAUGAUUAUAAAGUCCCAAGCAGGGAUUUGGGGAAUAGCUUAGCAUAUCAGAGAGCCUUAAAAAUUUAUUUCGGUCUUGACCAGAAAUGUGAAGCAGAACAGGAUUUUAAGCACAGAGGAUAGCGGCUGGAAAACUGGGAUUUAUCCUCCAUAAAUAUGUUCUGGAAAGCUGGUUUAUUCUGAGGUUACUGAUACAUGCAGGUGAGUGCACAUGGGGGGAAACAAACCACGUAGACAGGAGCAGAGCCUGGUUGAGGUAAGGGCCCAGCUGGCGCUGGGUGCUGAUGAUUUAGAAGGCGGCUGGGGCAGGAUGGAGGGGUGAAACGCAGGCACCUUCCCGGGCAACACAGAUUUAU